rnacentral:lncRNA from 1 species
CAUGGAGCGGACCCCAUGGAGUGUCCCGGUGCCCAGCCAGUCUGACAUUGGUACUGACUCGACCCAACGACCCUGCGAGGCGACCAGCAUGACCCGGACUGAGCCUUCUCCUGCACGGAGUGACGUGAGCCAGACAUCGACAGCCUCCCUGAGGCCCCCUGCCAGCACCGGCGGCAGUAAGCCCCCCAACAGUGCCCCCCUGCUGCGGAAAGUCGCCAAGAAAUGAUCCCAGCCUUCCCACGUUUGGUGUUACCCGACCUCUAGUGUUCAGAACAGUGCUUGUAAAUAUUCCCGCCAAUACAUUGUACAGUUUUAUAAAGUGCCUUGUUAUCCUCUCCUGAGACAGUUUAUUUCUGUAAAUAAAUACACUGAAGUUACUGUUGAUUUUAA